rnacentral:rRNA from 1 species
GGGUUGUGAGGUUAAGCGACUAAGCGUACACGGUGGAUGCCCUGGCAGUCAGAGGCGAUGAAGGACGUGCUAAUCUGCGAUAAGCGUCGGUAAGGUGAUAUGAACCGUUAUAACCGGCGAUUUCCGAAUGGGGAAACCCAGUGUGUUUCGACACACUAUCAUUAACUGAAUCCAUAGGUUAAUGAGGCGAACCGGGGGAACUGAAACAUCUAAGUACCCCGAGGAAAAGAAAUCAACCGAGAUUCCCCCAGUAGCGGCGAGCGAACGGGGAGCAGCCCAGAGCCUGAAUCAGUAUGUGUGUUAGUGGAAGCGUCUGGAAAGGCGCGCGAUACAGGGUGACAGCCCCGUACACAAAAAUGCACAUAUUGUGAGCUCGAUGAGUAGGGCGGGACACGUGGUAUCCUGUCUGAAUAUGGGGGGACCAUCCUCCAAGGCUAAAUACUCCUGACUGACCGAUAGUGAACCAGUACCGUGAGGGAAAGGCGAAAAGAACCCCGGCGAGGGGAGUGAAAAAGAACCUGAAACCGUGUACGUACAAGCAGUGGGAGCACGCUUAGGCGUGUGACUGCGUACCUUUUGUAUAAUGGGUCAGCGACUUAUAUUCUGUAGCAAGGUUAACCGAAUAGGGGAGCCGAAGGGAAACCGAGUCUUAACUGGGCGUUAAGUUGCAGGGUAUAGACCCGAAACCCGGUGAUCUAGCCAUGGGCAGGUUGAAGGUUGGGUAACACUAACUGGAGGACCGAACCGACUAAUGUUGAAAAAUUAGCGGAUGACUUGUGGCUGGGGGUGAAAGGCCAAUCAAACCGGGAGAUAGCUGGUUCUCCCCGAAAGCUAUUUAGGUAGCGCCUCGUGAAUUCAUCUCCGGGGGUAGAGCACUGUUUCGGCAAGGGGGUCAUCCCGACUUACCAACCCGAUGCAAACUGCGAAUACCGGAGAAUGUUAUCACGGGAGACACACGGCGGGUGCUAACGUCCGUCGUGAAGAGGGAAACAACCCAGACCGCCAGCUAAGGUCCCAAAGUCAUGGUUAAGUGGGAAACGAUGUGGGAAGGCCCAGACAGCCAGGAUGUUGGCUUAGAAGCAGCCAUCAUUUAAAGAAAGCGUAAUAGCUCACUGGUCGAGUCGGCCUGCGCGGAAGAUGUAACGGGGCUAAACCAUGCACCGAAGCUGCGGCAGCGACACUUAUGUGUUGUUGGGUAGGGGAGCGUUCUGUAAGCCUGCGAAGGUGUGCUGUGAGGCAUGCUGGAGGUAUCAGAAGUGCGAAUGCUGACAUAAGUAACGAUAAAGCGGGUGAAAAGCCCGCUCGCCGGAAGACCAAGGGUUCCUGUCCAACGUUAAUCGGGGCAGGGUGAGUCGACCCCUAAGGCGAGGCCGAAAGGCGUAGUCGAUGGGAAACAGGUUAAUAUUCCUGUACUUGGUGUUACUGCGAAGGGGGGACGGAGAAGGCUAUGUUGGCCGGGCGACGGUUGUCCCGGUUUAAGCGUGUAGGCUGGUUUUCCAGGCAAAUCCGGAAAAUCAAGGCUGAGGCGUGAUGACGAGGCACUACGGUGCUGAAGCAACAAAUGCCCUGCUUCCAGGAAAAGCCUCUAAGCAUCAGGUAACAUCAAAUCGUACCCCAAACCGACACAGGUGGUCAGGUAGAGAAUACCAAGGCGCUUGAGAGAACUCGGGUGAAGGAACUAGGCAAAAUGGUGCCGUAACUUCGGGAGAAGGCACGCUGAUAUGUAGGUGAGGUCCCUCGCGGAUGGAGCUGAAAUCAGUCGAAGAUACCAGCUGGCUGCAACUGUUUAUUAAAAACACAGCACUGUGCAAACACGAAAGUGGACGUAUACGGUGUGACGCCUGCCCGGUGCCGGAAGGUUAAUUGAUGGGGUUAGCCGCAAGGCGAAGCUCUUGAUCGAAGCCCCGGUAAACGGCGGCCGUAACUAUAACGGUCCUAAGGUAGCGAAAUUCCUUGUCGGGUAAGUUCCGACCUGCACGAAUGGCGUAAUGAUGGCCAGGCUGUCUCCACCCGAGACUCAGUGAAAUUGAACUCGCUGUGAAGAUGCAGUGUACCCGCGGCAAGACGGAAAGACCCCGUGAACCUUUACUAUAGCUUGACACUGAACAUUGAGCCUUGAUGUGUAGGAUAGGUGGGAGGCUUAGAAGUGUGGACGCCAGUCUGCAUGGAGCCGACCUUGAAAUACCACCCUUUAAUGUUUGAUGUUCUAACGUUGACCCGUAAUCCGGGUUGCGGACAGUGUCUGGUGGGUAGUUUGACUGGGGCGGUCUCCUCCUAAAGAGUAACGGAGGAGCACGAAGGUUGGCUAAUCCUGGUCGGACAUCAGGAGGUUAGUGCAAUGGCAUAAGCCAGCUUGACUGCGAGCGUGACGGCGCGAGCAGGUGCGAAAGCAGGUCAUAGUGAUCCGGUGGUUCUGAAUGGAAGGGCCAUCGCUCAACGGAUAAAAGGUACUCCGGGGAUAACAGGCUGAUACCGCCCAAGAGUUCAUAUCGACGGCGGUGUUUGGCACCUCGAUGUCGGCUCAUCACAUCCUGGGGCUGAAGUAGGUCCCAAGGGUAUGGCUGUUCGCCAUUUAAAGUGGUACGCGAGCUGGGUUUAGAACGUCGUGAGACAGUUCGGUCCCUAUCUGCCGUGGGCGCUGGAGAACUGAGGGGGGCUGCUCCUAGUACGAGAGGACCGGAGUGGACGCAUCACUGGUGUUCGGGUUGUCAUGCCAAUGGCACUGCCCGGUAGCUAAAUGCGGAAGAGAUAAGUGCUGAAAGCAUCUAAGCACGAAACUUGCCCCGAGAUGAGUUCUCCCUGACUCCUUGAGAGUCCUGAAGGAACGUUGAAGACGACGACGUUGAUAGGCCGGGUGUGUAAGCGCAGCGAUGCGUUGAGCUAACCGGUACUAAUGAACCGUGAGGCUUAACCUUACAACGCCGAAGGUGUUU